GUCUGGGUGGCUCAGCUGGUUAAGCGUCUGACUUCGGCUCAGGUCGUGAUCUCACGGUUCAUGGGUUCGAGCCCCGUGUCAGGCU
rnacentral:tRNA from 1 species